UCUGUCUUGGUGUAAUUAGCAUAAAAACUUUUCGUGUUUUAGGUAGUAUUUACUAGACAGGG
rnacentral:tRNA from 1 species